AUUGAACGCUGGCGGCAGGCCUAACACAUGCAAGUCGGACGGUAGCACAGAGGAGCUUGCUCCUCGGGUGACGAGUGGCGGACGGGUGAGUAAUGUCUGGGGAUCUGCCCGAUAGAGGGGGAUAACCACUGGAAACGGUGGCUAAUACCGCAUAACGUCGCAAGACCAAAGAGGGGGACCUUCGGGCCUCUCACUAUCGGAUGAACCCAGAUGGGAUUAGCUAGUAGGCGGGGUAACGGCCCACCUAGGCGACGAUCCCUAGCUGGUCUGAGAGGAUGAACAGCCACACUGGAACUGGGACACGGUCCGGACUCCUACGGGAGGCAGCAGUGGGGAAUAUUGCACAAUGGGCGCAAGCCUGAUGCAGCCAUGCCGCGUGUAUGAAGAAGGCCUUCGGGUUGUAAAGUACUUUCAGCGGGGAGGAAGGCGAUGUGGUUAGUAACCGCGCCGAUUGACGUUACCCGCAGAAGAAGCACCGGCUAACUCCGUGCCAGCAGCCGCAGUAA
rnacentral:rRNA from 1 species